rnacentral:rRNA from 1 species
GAUGAACGCUGGCGGCGUGCUUAACACAUGCAAGUCGAACGGACAGGCCCUGCUUUUGUGGGUUGCUCGAGUGGCGAACGGGUGAGUAACACGUGAGUAUCCUGCCCUUGACUUUGGGAUAACUUCAGGAAACUGGGGCUAAUACCCGAUAUGAUCUCCUGCUGCAUGGUGGUGGUUGGAAAGUUUCGGCUGUUGUGGAUCUACUCGCGGCUUAUCAGCUUGUUGGUGUGGUAGUGGCUUACCCAGGCUUUGAUGGGUAGCCGGCCUGAGAGGCUGGUCAGCGAGACUGGAAAGGAGACACGGACCAGAGGCAUAGGGGAGGCAGCAGUAGGGAAUAGGGGGCAAGGGGCGAAAGACUGAGGGAGCAACGCCGAGUGAGUGAGGAAGGUCGUCGGAUGGGAAAACACGGUUAGGAGGGAAGAACAAAUGUGGAAGUAAAGAGGAACGUGGUGAAGGGAAAUAGGCAAAAAGACACGGCUAAAUAAGUG